GAGUUUGAUCGUGGCUCAGAGUGAACGCUGGCGGUAGGCCUAACACAUGCAAGUCGAACGGCAGCACAGAGGAGCUUGCUCCUUGGGUGGCGAGUGGCGGACGGGUGAGGAAUACAUCGGAAUCUACUCUGUCGUGGGGGAUAACGUAGGGAAACUUACGCUAAUACCGCAUACGACCUACGGGUGAAAGCAGGGGAUCUUCGGACCUUGCGCGAUUGAAUGAGCCGAUGUCGGAUUAGCUAGUUGGCGGGUAAAGGCCCACCAAGGCGACGAUCCGUAGCUGGUCUGAGAGGAUGAUCAGCCACACUGGAACUGAGACACGGUCCAGACUCCUACGGGAGGCAGCAGUGGGGAAUAUUGGACAAUGGGCGCAAGCCUGAUCCAGCCAUACCGCGUGGGUGAAGAAGGCCUCGGUUGUAAG
rnacentral:rRNA from 1 species